AGGAGAGAAAAUUGUCCCAUUCCAGGAUGUGCACGAGUCCCUGAGAUGGACUGCCAGAAACCUACAAUAAUUGAAGAAACAGAACUGUGGACACCUGCAGUAACCAAAGAAAUGGGCCUGUGGACUGGCCAAGAGAAGGCCUUAGGCGUGCACUAGUGAAACCAUCAGUUCUCCAAGUGAAACUAUGGGCUGAACCACUAGAACCCAAAGUUGAAUGAGCAAGCUGGAGACCCAGUUCAAGUCUGCAGGCAGGAAAAAGCCAGUGUCCCAGUUUGAAGAUGGCUAGGCAGGAGGAAUUCUCUCUUCCUCAAAGGUCAGUCUUUUUGUCCUAUUCAGGCCUUCAACUGAUUGGAUGAAGGUCAUCCAGGUUAGGGAAGGCAAUCUGCUUUACUCAAUAUUUUGAUUUAAAUAUUAGUAUCAUCUAAAAACACCCUUACAGAAACGCCCAGAAUAAUGUUUGUCCAAAUAUCUGGGCACCCCAUGACACUUAAAAUUAACUAUCACAAAGACUUAAUGUACUGAGUUGAUUUCACAGCUCGGUAAUGAUAUGCACUUUUUAAACUAGUUUUAUAAUUUGUAAACUGGUUAGUGGGAUUGUAUCAUUAUAACGUGUCUGUAUUUGAAUAUGGUUUUGCCAUUUAUACUCUCAGUUCAUGGUAAAGAUUAGUUUAAUAGAAAUUCCCGUGUCCUUUUCUCCAUGCUCCAGCUAAGUACAUUUUCUAACAUGAACUUACGUCUCCUUUCCUGGCAUGUCUAUCUCCUUUUACAUAUAUCCUGAUUACUCCUUUCCUGGUGUGUCUGUCUCCUUUUAUGUGUAUCUUAAUUACUUUAUCUUGGGCCUGUUAAGGAAAGGAAGUGCUAUCACCUUUGAAGGACAUUAUCUCAAGUAUCAUCAUGAUCUCCCCCUCAAUGAAAGCCUUGUUACAGAUGUGGCUACAGGGUAAUUUAUGCUUAAAAUAUUAAAAAUUAAUAUUUAAUAUUAAAUAUUAAAAAUAUCUCACAAAUAACACAGUGCAUGGUUUAACAGCAAAUUAGAUAAAACUGUAAAUUGGACUAGAAGAGAAUAUUUAGAAUAAAGAUUGGAUAAAUGAAAUGAUAAAAAAUAAUGAAGAGAGACCAAAAGAAAUAAACUUUGCAAGGUAAAGUUUAUUUGUACUUACUUAAAAUUUUAGAUGAAUGGGACUGGGGAAAUGGGGCUGAGAAAAUAUUCCGAAAGAUAAUAGCUUAGAAGACCUCUGAACUGCAAACGAGAAAAAUAAAAAACUGUCUAGCUACAUCAUAGGAGAAUUGUUGAGAAGUAAAAUAUAUAGAGAGAGGUAGAUAAACAAUAAAAUGUAUAAUCUUGGAGUUCCUAGUGUGGCUCAGCGGGUUAUGACCUGACCAGUAUCCAUAAAGAUGCUGUUUUGAUCCCUGGCCUUGCUAAAAGGGUUAAGGAUCUACUGUUGCUGUGAGCUGUGGUAUAGGUCAGAGAUGGGGCUCAUCUGGUGUUGCUGUGGCUGUGGCAUAGGCCGGCAGUUGCAGCUCUGAUUUGACUCCUAUCCUGGGAACUUCCAUAGGCCUGGAGUGUGGCCCUCAAAAGCAAAAGCAAACAAACAAAAGAUACACCUUAACCUUUUAAAAAACUGAUAAUGAAGAAAAAGCUGCUGAAAGAGGUUAGAAAACCCUGUAUAUUAUUGAUAGGAAACAGCAAUACAAAUGACAAAAGAUUUCUCACCUGAAAUCUUGGAGGCUAGGAGUAUAUGGCAAGAAAUUGUUCAAGUGAUUAAAAUACAUAAUUGUCAACAGCAAAUUCUAUAUAGAUUGAAAACAUGCUUUGGGAAUGAAGGGGAAAUAUUUUCUGUGAUAAAGGAAAACUGAGAAUUUAUUGCAGAUGACCUUCUUCAAACAAUUGCUGGAAUUGCUGUGGUGGCUCAGUGGGUUAAGGACCCAUUGUUGUCUUUGUGAGCAUAUGAGUUCAAUCCUUGGCCUCAUUCAGUGGGUUAAGGAUCUGGCAUUGCCAAAACCUGCUUCGUGGGUUGCAGAUGUAGCCCAUAUCCGGUGUUGUCAUGGCUGUGUCAUAGACACCAGCUGCAGCUCUGAUUCGACCCCUGGCCUGGGACUUUCAUAUGCCACAGGUGCAGCUGUAAAAAGAAAACAAACAAACAAAUAAAUAAAACAGUAAAAGAGCAAACCUGGCGGUUUAAAAAACAAAAACAAGAAACUUUGUGGCACAGCAGAAACAAGCUGACUAGUAUCCUUGAGGAUGCGGGUUCAACCCCUGGCCUCACGCAGUGGGUCAGUGAUCUAGUGUUGCCGUGAGCUAUGGUGUAGGUCGAAGACAUGGCUCAGAUCCCGAGUUGCUGCGGCUCUGGCGUAGUCUGGCAGCUGUAGCUCUGAUUUGACCCAUAGCCUGGGAACUUCCACAUGCCAUGGGUGCAGCCCUAAAAAUAAAUGAAUGAAUAAAUUAAAUAAAUAAAUAAAUAAACCAAAACUAAUUGCUAUAGGAGAGUUUUCAAGGAAAUGAUAACAGAAGGAGUCUUGGAAAUUCAGGAAAGAAAGAAGGAAAUGGUUUAAAAAAGUAUAAUAGACUGUUGUAAAUUUCUUAAAUUGUAUUUCAGGAGUUCCCUGGUGGCCUACAAGUUAAAGGAUCUGGCAUUGUCACUGCUGUAACACAGCUCUGAUCCCGGGCUCAGGAAUUUUUGUAUGCCAUGGGCACAGACAAAAAAAAAAAAAAAA
rnacentral:lncRNA from 1 species